CAGCUUCUCUUUCAGCCUCUCCUCUGAUAAAUAAUAUACAGGUUCAAGACUGAUGACACAACAUAAAGGAGACACUUAAGGGAUUCUUGUUCUUUAGAUUGUCUGACUCACUUUCCAGUUAACUAUGUAUCUGACCGACAACUGGCUGUCUAUGGUGAUCGGAUUAUUAAAAACCAGUCCACUGGGAGCUAGUGUAGGUUUUGGAUUUUUCCAGGUGAUACUGGAGAAACUAGUGGAAGCAGAAUUUUCGUGCCCUUGUGACUCUGAUUACAACUGUGGAUAUGGUUUAGUAUUUUUCAUCGUUCCAUCAAUUAUGGUCUUUUUACUAAUGUGUGUCAUUAGUUAUUCACUUGAGUUAUGGACAUGUAAAAUGUCCAUGUAAAUGUACAUGUAAAUCCAUCUGGGAAAUCUUAAUUAUCAUGUUUGUUCCACCCAUAACAUGGUUUAUAGUAGUGUCCGUUGAUGGUCGUUAUUUUGCCUGUGCAAGGACCAAUUGGACAGGAAAGUAUGAACUGAUUGAGAACGCUGCUCCUCAGAAAUGGUGUAACCCAUUAGACUCGUCUCUGGAGCCAGACUCACUGACCCAAACCCAGUUCUGGUAUUCUAAAUCACAGUUCAUUGGAUUCUGCACAGCAGCUGGGCUGACCUUCAUAUAUGUGGUCUGUUUUUUCAUCUCCCGGUGUUGUUCAUCCCCUCCAGAAAACAGAGAGACCCCUGUGCCUUCAGAAGAUGUCGAGAUGGAGCCAAACAAUUCUUAAAAUUAUGAAAUUUAUGCAUGCAUUUAAUUAUUGAU